rnacentral:tRNA from 1 species
GACCCCUUGGUCAAGCGGUUAAGACACCGCCCUUUCACGGCGGUAACAGGAGUUCGAGUCUCCUAGGGGUCACCA